rnacentral:misc_RNA from 1 species
UUGCACCAGCGGUAGGAGCGGCAUCCUUUUAUGAAGCGUCAGCGGCAUAAAAGAUACAGCGGAUGACGCGCCCGGGU